rnacentral:lncRNA from 1 species
AAAGUUUUAAAAUAAAACUGACCCAAUUAGGAUUUAAAAUAAGGCCCAGUUGAAUUAAACUAAUCAGCCCAACUGAUAAAUAAAAUAAAGGCCCAACUGUUUAAUAAAAUAAAAACCGGCCCAACCACAGCAUUAAAAACGGCCCAAGUCAAUUUAAUUUAAAAAUCGGCCCAUCAGGCCCAACCUCAAGCCCUACCUAGCCCAACACUCCCAAGC